UAAAACAAAAGCCUCUCUCAAUUAGGACAAGAAACCAGAUGGAGCCGACUGCACAUCUCUCUCUCUCUCUCUCGUCCCAUUUCAUCUAAUCUCAUGUUUCCUCUUCCUCUCCUCUUUCUUUAAGCCUCGAUUCUAUUUUUUACCAUGCUCUCGGUAAUGGGUAGGCGCGGAGCAAGAACCAAAGUGCAGAAGCAGCAGAACCUGUGGCGAGUCGCGAUGGUCGACGAGCUGAGUGUCAACUGUCGAGUCGUGGGUGCCAAUUAUUGGGGGUGAUGGAGACGGACUGAUGGUGUCACGGACCUCAUGGUGAUACCUUUUUCACAAUGGAUUGAAGAAAUAAAGACUCCAAAUGCUAUUUUGGCGAAGCACCAAGUAUCUUCAAGGUGGGAGGCUCUUUCCUAUAUGAAAGAUGCAGGCUAAAAAGAAAGUAAUGGGAAGGAUUUUUGAGAGCUAGCCAACCCAACGGUUUGAAGACAGCAAGUUGUAAAUUAUCUUAUUUUAUACAAUGAUUUUCUAUUUUUUAAGAGGAGUGUAAGAUAAUGUUUAUUUGAUGGGCAAUAUGUAAAUAAAAAUUUUUCUUCGAUUUA